UGUGGAUGUUGGGUGCCCAGAAACACACACACGAGGGAAUGUUAUUGUGGCUGCUGUUGUACUGUUGGUAUUUUGUUUUAUUGCCUUCGCUGCUGACAGAAGCAGCGUCGACAGCAGCAGCAGCAACUUCUUCAACAGCAGGCGACUGUCUUCAAUCGUGUUUACGCUGCCAACGGCUCUGGACGCAAUCUGAUUAAAACCAACAAAACAACAACUACACCCUGCAACCUGACCGCCCACACAAUAAAUUGCGACGAAUUUUUGUACCGAGCGAAAGCAAGAAAGCAAAGAGUUAGGCGAAAUAUAUUUUGCAUAUUUGUGAAAUUUUAACUGCAACAACAACAAAAACAAAGGCAAUAAGAUGUUCAGCUCAUUCACAG